rnacentral:rRNA from 1 species
CUCUCGGCAACGGAUAUCUCGGCUCUCGCAUCGAUGAAGAACGUAGCGAAAUGCGAUACUUGGUGUGAAUUGCAGAAUCCCGUGAACCAUCGAGUCUUUGAACGCAAGUUGCGCCUGAGGCCACUCGGCCGAGGGCACGCCUGCCUGGGCGUCACGCCACCCAU